GAUGAAGAACGUAGCGAAAUGCGAUACGUAAUGUGAAUUGCAGAAUUCAGUGAAUCAUCGAGUCUUUGAACGCACAUUGCGCCCCCUGGUAUUCCGGGGGGCAUGCCUGUCCGAGCGUCAUUGCUGCCCUCAAGCACGGCUUGUGUGUUGGGCCUCCGUCCUCCUCCCGGGGGACGGGCCCGAAAGGCAGCGGCGGCACCGCGUCCGGUCCUCGAGCGUAUGGGGCUUCGUCACCCGCUCUGGUAGGCCCGGCCGGCGCUUGCCGACACAUCAAUCUUUUUUCCAGGUUGACCUCGGAUCAGGUAGGGAUACCCGCUGAACUUAAGCAUAUCAAUAAGCGGAGGA
rnacentral:misc_RNA from 1 species